rnacentral:rRNA from 1 species
AUUGAACGCUGGCGGCAGGCCUAACACAUGCAAGUCGAACGGUAACAGGAUAGCUUGCUAUCGCUGACGAGUGGCGGACGGGUGAGUAAUGCUUAGGAACUUGCCUUUGCGAGGGGGAUAACCAUUGGAAACGAUGGCUAAUACCGCAUAAUACCUUAGGGUCAAAGUGGGCUUAUGCUCACGCGCGAAGAGAGGCCUAAGUGAGAUUAGCUAGUUGGUGGGGUAAAGGCUCACCAAGGCGACGAUCUUUAGCUGUUCUGAGAGGAAGAUCAGCCACACUGGGACUGAGACACGGCCCAGACUCCUACGGGAGGCAGCAGUGGGGAAUAUUGCGCAAGUGGGGGCAACCCUGACGCAGCCAUGCCGCGUGUGUGAAGAAGGCCUUCGGGU